GAGCCCUCCAUCCGAUGCAUCAAAUCACGCCUGUAUCCAGCCGCAAGGGGGACUCUCCCUUCCGGUGCAGCAGAGCCGCAGCUCCCUUCGGACGCAGCGAGAGUCCCUCCAUCAGUCGCGUCUCCUUGCUUAAUCAGCAUCGGACGGGGCUCCCCUUCCGGUGCAGCAGACCCGUCGGCUCCCUUCGGUCGCAGGGUUAAUCCUCAGUCUGUCAUUCUGAGUUACGCUGCGUACUCAGGGGUGGACGAGGAUCUCCCUCCCGGUGCAGCAGAGCCGUCGGCUCCCUUCGGUCGCAGCGGGAGCCCUCCAUCCGACGCAUCAAACCACGCCUCGUAUCCAGCCGCAAGGGGGACUCUCCCUUCCGGUGCAGCAGAGCCGCAGCUCCCUUCGGACGCAGCGAGAGUCCCUCCAUCAGUCGCGUCUCCUUGCUUAAUCAGCAUUGGACGGGGCUCCCCUUCCGGUGCAGCAGACCCGUCGGCUCCCUUCGGUCGCAGGGUUAAUCCUCAGUCUGUCAUUCUGAGUUACGCUGCGUACUCAGGGGUGGACGAGGAUCUCCCUCCCGGUGCAGCAGAGCCGUCGGCUCCCUUCGGUCGCAGCGGGAGCCCUCCAUCCGACGCAUCAAACCACGCCUCGUAUCCAGCCGCAAGGGGGACUCUCCCUUCCGGUGCAGCAGAGCCGCAGCUCCCUUCGGACGCAGCGAGAGUCCCUCCAUCAGUCGCGUCUCCUUGCUUAAUCAGCAUUGGACGGGGCUCCCCUUCCGGUGCAGCAGACCCGUCGGCUCCCUUCGGUCGCAGGGUUAAUCCUCAGUCUGUCAUUCUGAGUUACGCUGCGUACUCAGGGGUGGACGAGGAUCUCCCUCCCGGUGCAGCAGAGCCGUCGGCUCCCUUCGGUCGCAGCGGGAGCCCUCCAUCCGACGCAUCAAACCACGCCUCGUAUCCAGCCGCAAGGGGGACUCUCCCUUCCGGUGCAGCAGAGCCGCAGCUCCCUUCGGACGCAGCGAGAGUCCCUCCAUCAGUCGCGUCUCCUUGCUUAAUCAGCAUUGGACGGGGCUCCCCUUCCGGUGCAGCAGACCCGUCGGCUCCCUUCGGUCGCAGGGUUAAUCCUCAGUCUGUCGUUCGAAUUACGAUGCGUACUCGGCGGUGGACGGGGGAUCUCCCUCCCGGUGCAGAGAGCUGUCGGCUCCCUUCGGUUGCAGCGGGAGUCCCUCCAUCAGUCACGUUACCUUACUUAUUCAGCAUCAAACAGGGCUCUCCCUUUCGGUGCAGCAGGGCCGCGGCUCCCUUCGGUCGCAGUAUGACCCCUCCGUCUGUUGUUUCGAGUUACGUUGCGUGCUCUGCAGCAGACGGGGCUCACACUCCCGGUGCAGCAGAGUCGCAGGCUCUCUUCGGACGCUGUGAGAGCCCUCCAAGGCAUCAAACUGUGCCUUAUAUCCAGCCGCAACGGGGGACUCUCCCUUCCGGUGCAGCAGAGCCGCAGCUCCCUUCGGCUGCAGCGCGCGUCCCUCCAUCCGUCGCGUCUUUUUGCUUAUUCAGCAUCGGACAAGGGCUCCCCAUCCGGUGCAGCAGAUCCUCGGCUCCCUUUGGUCCCAGGGUGAACCCUCUGUCUGUCAUCUGA
ensembl:lncRNA